AGAGGUUCGAAGGCGAUCAGAUACCGCCCUAGUUCUAACCGUAAACUAUGCCUACUAGAUGUAUGAAUUAUUAGUUAUAAUAAUUUAUGCAUCUUCUCGGAAACGAAAGUCUUUCGGUUCCGGGGGAAGUAUGGUUGCAAAGCUGAAACUUAAAGGAAUUGACGGAAGGGCACCACCAGGAGUGGAGCCUGCGGCUUAAUUUGACUCAACACGGGAAAACUCACCCGGGCCGGACACUAUAAGGAUUGACAGAUUGAUAGCUCUUUCAUGAUUUAGUGGUUGGUGGUGCAUGGCCGUUCUUAGUUCGUGGAUAUGAUUUGUCUGGUUGAUUCCGAUAACGAGCGAGACUUUUAUGUUAUAUUAAAUAUUAUUAUUUUGUUUAUUUUAAUAUAAAUAAUUAAUAUUUUAAUAACAGAUUAAUAGUGUUUAACUAUUUGAGAGAGAGCGAUAACAGGUCUGUGAUGCCCUUAGAUGUCCGGGGCUGCACGCGCGCUACAAUGUAGUGAUCAUUAUGUUCCUGUUUAGAGAUAAAUGGGUAAACAUUGAAAACAUUACGUAACUGGGAAUGAAAAUUGCAAUUAUUUUUCAUGAACGAGGAAUUCCAAGUAAACGUAAGUCAUUAGCUUACAUUGAUUACGU
rnacentral:rRNA from 1 species